GACGAACGCUGGCGGCGUGCUUAAUACAUGCAAGUCGAGCGAUAACGUUUCUUCGGAAACGUUAGAGCGGCGGACGGGUGAGUAACGCGUGGGCAAUCUGCCCUCUAGCCUGGGAUAACAGUUCGAAAGGACUGCUAACACCGGAUACUCUCUUGAGAAGGCAUCUUUUCAAGAGGAAAGUUUACACUAGAGGAUGAGCCCGCGUCCCAUUAGCUAGUUGAUGAGGUAACGGCCCACCAAGGCGACGAUGGGUAGCCAACCUGAGAGGGUGAACGGCCACACUGGGACUGAGACACGGCCCAGACUCCUACGGGAGGCAGCAGUAGGGAAUUUUCCGCAAUGGGCGAAAGCCUGACGGAGCAACGCCGCGUGAGGGAUGAAGGUCUUCGGAUCGUAAACCUUUGUCUAGAGGGACGAUAAUGACGGUACCUCUGGAGGAAGCCACGGCUAACUACGUGCCAGCCGCCGCGGUAACAC
rnacentral:rRNA from 1 species